rnacentral:rRNA from 1 species
UACGAAGGGGGCAAGCGUUGUUCGGAAUGACUGGGCGUAAAGGGCGCGUAGGCGGCCACGCACGUCCGUUGUGAAAUCGCCCGGCUCAACUGGGCGGGGUCAGCGGAUACGGUGUGGCUAGAGCAAGCUAGGGGGCAAUGGAAUUCCCGGUGUAGUGGUGGAAUGCGUAGAUAUCGGGAGGAACACCAGUGGCGAAGGCGGUUGCCUGGAGCUUUGCUGACGCUGAUGCGCGAAAGCGUGGGGAGCGAUCCGG